rnacentral:lncRNA from 1 species
CUCAGGUCUGACUAGGGAUGGGGCUUCAACAAAAAUCUCCCCCUCCUCAUCUAGGAAGGAGAGGUCCAGCUUGGGAAAGUUCUCUUGGAUUUGCAAUUAGCAUUCCCAUAGGCUGGCGAUGUAAGACUCCAUGGCAUGAUUAGCCUUCUCCUUAGUGAAGUCUUUGGAAGCUCAGAAUGCCUCCACUGCUCGACAAGCCA